rnacentral:lncRNA from 1 species
GAAUAUAAUUCAGAUAGAAUUAAAUCAAAUGUGGAAAUUGAAGGAACAUUCAAGAUCACAGAGGCAUUUUUAGGAGAAGCGUGAAGAUUUCUUGUGCCCCUUUUGAGUCAGCACAUCACGGACGGAUGAGAGGAGACAGAUGGUCAUGGGAGCAGGACCUCAGAGCAGACGGCACGCAUUCAGGACAGCGAUCAUUUAGAGGGUCUUUGGCAAAUCAU